ensembl:ncRNA F10C2.9 ncRNA
ACACGACCAGUAUAAUCGACACAUUUACGAGAGCAUCAAAUUGAAAUGAGAUAUUUUUGCCUUGAGCGAAUUUCGUAGACCAAAUGAACUAAAAUGUCUAUUUGUAUGGAAUUGGUCGCAAUUUAUCUUUCUCUCAC